GAUGAACGCUAGCGGCAGGCCUAACACAUGCAAGUCGAGGGGCAUCACGGAUUGCUUGCAAUCUGGUGGCGACCGGCGCACGGGUGCGUAACGCGUAUACAACCUACCUUUUGGAGGGGAAUAGCCCAGAGAAAUUUGGAUUAAUACCCCAUAGUAUAUAGGAAUCUCCUGAUUUUAUAUUAAACAUUUAUGGCCAUUAGAUGGGUAUGCGUCCUAUUAGCUAGUUGGUGUGGUAACGGCACACCAAGGCUACGAUAGGUAGGGGUCCUGAGAGGGAGAUCCCCACACUGGUACUGAGACACGGACCAGACUCCUACGGGAGGCAGCAGUGAGGAAUAUUGGACAAUGGGCGAGAGCCUGAUCCAGCCAUGCCGCGUGCAGGAAGACUCGCCCUAUGGGUUGUAAACUGUCUUUUACAGAGGAAGAACCCACCCCCACGUGUGGGGGUUUGACGGUACUCUGCGAAUAAGGAUCGGCUAACUCCGUG
rnacentral:rRNA from 1 species